GCCCUUAGAGUUUGAUCCUGGCUCAGAUUGAACGCUGGCGGCAUGCCUAACACAUGCAAGUCGAACGGUAACAGGCCGCUGUGAUCCCUUCGGGGUGAACUUGGCGCUGACGAGUGGCAGACGGGUGAGUAACGCGCAGGAAUUUGCCCGGUAGUGGGGGAUAGCUCGGAGAAACUCGAAUUAAUACCGCAUACCCUCUACGGAGGAAAGCCGGGGACCUUUUCGGAGGCCCGGCGCUACCGGAUAAGCCUGCGUCUGAUUAGCUUGUUGGUGAGGUAACGGCUCACCAAGGCGACGAUCAGUAGCUGGUCUGAGAGGACGAUCAGCCACACUGGGACUGAGACACGGCCCAGACUCCUACGGGAGGCAGCAGUGAGGAAUAUUGGACAAUGGGCGCAAGCCUGAUCCAGCAAUGCCGCGUGUGUGAAGAAGGCCUGCGGGUUGUAAAGCACUUUCAGCAAGUGAAGAAAAGCUGCGCGCGAAUACCGCGCAGCCGUGACAUGCCCCUGCAGAAGAAGCACCGGCUAAUUCCGUGCCAAGCAGCCCGCCGGUAAUACCGGAAGGGUGCAAAGCGUUUAAUCCGGAAAUUACUGGGGCCGUUAAAGCCGCCACGUUA
rnacentral:rRNA from 1 species